rnacentral:rRNA from 1 species
CGAGGAGGUAGGGCUUACGCUUGCGUUUGUCUGUUAUAUCUUGGUGGACGAGUCGUCGCGGUUGGGACUGAGGUGCCUACAACGUGCUUUUGAGUGAGUUUGUGUCUCCGUGUGCGCCGUGUGCGGAUAGCUUGCUAUGUAUGUGCGGUUGUGUGUGGAUUGAUGCGGGCCUUAACUUGUUGCCGUUCGGGACGUUGACGAAAUGGAGCGAUCCGACCCGUCUUGAAACACGGACCAAGGAGUCUAACAUAUGUGCAAGUGUUAGGGUGUGGAAACCCCAGCGCGUAAUGAAAGUAAAGGGCAGCGCAAGUUGUCUGAGGUAGGAAACGUUGUGGACUUCGGUCUGCGGCGUGGCACUAUCGACCGAUCAUGAACCUUCGUGGUGAAAGAUUUGAGUUUGAGCACAUAUGUUGGUACCCGAAAGAUGGUGAACUAUGCCUGAGUAGGGUGAAGCCAGGGGAAACUCUGGUGGAAGCUCGUAGCGAUUCUGACGUGCAAAUCGAUCGUCGAACUUGGGUAUAGGGGCGAAAGACUAAUCGAACCAUCUAGUAGCUGGUUCCCUCCGAAAUUUCCCUCAGGAUAGCAGCAACUUAUUUACGAUAGUUUUAUGAGGUAAAGCGAAUGAUUAGAGGAUUCGGGGAAGAAACUUCCUCGACCUAUUCUCAAACUUUAAAUCUGUAAGACCUGCAGGUUUCUUAAU